AGGUGGUUCACCUCCCAUUUCUAGCUUCAGUUAAAACUUCUGUUCAGAAAAUCCAGGUUUCCAAGGCAACUAACAAAGAAGAAGAAAAUAAAACCAACAGCAAAUUUUAAAAGGUAAAGUUAAAAUACUACCAAUCACAUCAGGCUAAA